rnacentral:lncRNA from 1 species
AAUGAUUAUUGAGGCUAAUGACAGGCUUGGCUAACAGCGAAACUUGAGCAGCUGCAGGACAUUGAUCCAGUAUUAUUAUACAUGAUGUGGUCAUCAGCACAGAAGCAGGAAGUG